rnacentral:rRNA from 1 species
GUUUAAAGCUCCACGGUUUCCGUGGCGCGUUGUAGACUGAAGGGGCGCUAUCUUCGCGUCGGCCCGGGUAUAGGUCCGUUGGAAAGCGGCGUCACAGAGGGUGAGAACCCCGUCAGUGACUCGGGUAUACCGUACGCGUCAUACGUUGCGCUUCCAGAGAGUCGGGUUGUUUGGGAUUGCAGCCCAAAAUGGGUGGUAAACUCCAUCUAAAGCUAAAUAUUGGCACGAGACCGAUAGCGAACAAGUACCGUGAGGGAAAGAUGAAAAGCACUUUGAAAAGAGAGUCAAACAGUACGUGAAACCGUUAAGGGGGAAGCGAAUGGAGCUAGCAUCUGCACCUUUGAGUUACAAUCAGCCAGACGUCUCAUGGCCGGAGUUGGCGACGGAGCUUCUCGAGUUGUAAGGGGCUUUGUAUCCUUGCAAAUGCCGAGUGGGCCUGGCGUCUGAUUUCGUGGACCCCGUGAGGAUUUUCAGCCUGGUGCACUUGUGACCGGUGACAGGCCAACAUCAGUUCGGAAAAAGCAAAAAGAAAUUUUUGUGCCUUAAGGACAGUCGCCCGGAAGGGAAGGUGGUUGCUGCCGGAGCUUUUGCACCGGUUUGCAAUGUUAUAGCCCUUUCGAUGGCCGUCGAGGCCCGGACUGAGGAGAUCAAGCAGCGCGCUUAUCUUGCAGCGCUUCCGCUGGGAGUGGYGAAGAUCCGGGACUGCGCCCGAAACGGGUUCAGUGUCGGGCUUUCGUCGCUUUCAUUACAUCGGGAGUCUACGCUUUAAACGCGCUUGUGAUGUUGGCGAAAUGGCUUCAUCCGACCCGUCUUGAAACACGGACCAAGGAGUCUAACAUAUGCGCGAGUCUUUAGGGUGUCAAACCCGGGAGAGGCGAAAUGAAAGUGAAGGCGUGCCAUUUUUUGUCGCGCGCCGAGGUGAGACGUUCUUCUCCUCGUGAGGAGGACCGCAUCAUCGACCGAUCCGAAUGGGCCGUUGAGGGACUUGUCCUUCUUCGGACUUCCUGAAAGAUUUGAGUAAGAGCGUGUCUGUUAGGACCCGAAAGAUGGUGAACUAUGCCUGAACAGGGUGAAGUCUGAGGAAACUCAGAUGGAAGCUCGCAGCGAUUCUGACGUGCAAAUCGAUCGUCUGAUUUGGGUAUAGGGGCGAAAGACUAAUCGAACCAUCUAGUAGCUGGUUCCCUCCGAAAUUUCCCUCAGGAUAGCUGGAACUCGAAUACGCAGUUUUAUCAGGUAAAGCGAAUGAUUAGAGGCCUUGGGGUCGAAAUGACCUCAACCUAUUCUCAAACUUUAAAUGGGUAAGAAGCCCGACUUGCUUAAGUGAAGCCGGGCAUUUUUUCGAAUGCAAGAGUUCUAUGUGGGCCAUUUUUGGUAAGCAGAACUGGCGAUGCGGGAUGAACCGAACGCGAAGUUAAAGUGCCAAAGUUCACGCUCACCUAGAACCCAUAAAAGGUGUUGGCUGAUGAAGACAGCAGGACGGUGGCCAUGGAAGUCGGAAUCCGCCAAGGAGUGUGUAACAACUCACCUGCCGAAUCAGCCAGCCCUGAAAAUGGAUGGCGCUCAAGCGUGACACUCAUACUUCGCCGUUGCCGCAAAAGGAACGUGACCGUCUUUUUUUUGUGCCGCAACGAGUAGGAGGGCGUGGAGGUAGUGAAGCAGCUUAGGGCGUGAGCCCGAGUGAAACUGCC